ACUCCUACGGGAGGCAGCAGUGGGGAAUAUUGCACAAUGGGCGCAAGCCUGAUGCAGCCAUGCCGCGUGUAUGAAGAAGGCCUUCGGGUUGUAAAGUACUUUCAGCAGUGAGGAAGGCAGGUACGUUAAUAGCGUGCUUGUUUGACGUUAGCUGCAGAAGAAGCACCGGCUAACUCCGUGCCAGCAGCCGCGGUAAUACGGAGGGUGCGAGCGUUAAUCGGAAUUACUGGGCGUAAAGCGCAUGCAGGUGGUUUGUUAAGUCAGAUGUGAAAGCCCGGGGCUCAACCUCGGAAUUGCAUUUGAAACUGGCAGACUAGAGUACUGUAGAGGGGGUAGAAUUUCAGGUGUAGCGGUGAAAUGCGUAGAGAUCUGAAGGAAUACCGGUGGCGAAGGCGGCCCCCUGGACAGAUACUGACACUCAGAUGCGAAAGCGUGGGGAGCAAACAGGAUUAGAUACCCUGGUAGGAUAGCG
rnacentral:rRNA from 1 species